rnacentral:rRNA from 1 species
CGCCUCUUGAAGUCCCACAAUAAGAGGUCCUGCCUGCCCUGUGACAAUAUGUUUAACGGCCGCGGUAUUUUAACCGUGCAAAGGUAGCGCAAUCACUUGUCUUUUAAAUAAAGACCUGUAUGAAUGGCAUAACGAAGGCCUAGCUGUCUCCUCUUUCAAGUCAAUGAAACUGAUCUUUCCGUGCAGAAGCGGAAAUUUAACCAUAAGACGAGAAGACCCUAUGGAGCUUUAGAUACUAUAGCAGCUUAUAUUAAAUACUCCAAAAUAAAAGAGAAAAAACUAAAUUGCUCUGCCCUAAUAUCUUUGGUUGGGGCGACCACGGGAAAUUAAAUAACUCCCAUGCGGAACAGGAGAACUACUCCCACAACUAAGAGUUACAACUCUAAUAAACAAAAUUCUGACCAGUAAGAUCCGGCAAUGCCGAUCAACGGACCGAGUUACCCUAGGGAUAACAGCGCAAUCCUCUUUUAGAGCCCAUAUCGACAAGAGGGUUUACGACCUCGAUGUUGGAUCAGGACAUCCUAAUGGUGCAGCCCGCUAUUAAAGGUUCGUUUGUUCAACGAUUAAAGUCCU